rnacentral:rRNA from 1 species
CAGUCUGCAACUCGACUGCACGAAGCUGGAAUCGCUAGUAAUCGCAGAUCAGAAUGCUGCGGUGAAUACGUUCCCGGGUCUUGUACACACCGCCGUCACACCAUGGGAGUUGGGAAUGCCCGAAGUCAGUGACCCAACCGUAAGGAGGGAGCUGCCGAAGGCAGAUUCGAUAACUGGGGUGAAGUCGUAACAAGGUACC